rnacentral:tRNA from 1 species
GACUUGUAAUCAGUAGGUUGGGGGUUCAAGUCCUCUGGCCGGCACCAUUUAUGGAGGGGUAGCGAAGUGGCUAAACGCGGCGGACUGUAA